UCUGGUAAAUUUAACCGCUGAGGUUUCAAUCAUGAAUGUAUCUUAGUUGUCCUAGAUCUAAGCUGCAGCCGUGUCUCCCCAACCCGUACAGCUCAACGGCUCAUAAGUCACAUCCACCCAGACCAGUCAUUUGUUGGCCGACGAUUCCCGACACCCCCGAUACAGAGAGCCCUGCGCUUCAUUGACUCAACGUUUCUAGUGGCGCCACGUUUCUCCCUCAAAAGUUACAGUCUGCAGCUUUUUCAGUGCACGGACCAAAGUGGACAUGCUUCUUGACAUUUCCGGAGUCUCGACCGAAAUGACAUGCAAAUGUGACAUCAAACAAACUAAUGCUCUGUAAUUGUAAAGAAAAAUGAAAGAAAGCGCAGUAGUGUGACUCCGAACUAAACCACAAAUCUUAAUCCUGAGGGAGAGACCAUCUUGUCGUAUGUUACAAGCUACGUCAACACAAGAAAUGCAAAAUGUUAAAAAAGUUUACAAAAAAACUAACAAACAAAAAAACGAUAACAUUCUUUUUUUUUGACCAGCGAAUCUCAAAGAAAUGUAAGCCGAAUCACAUCUCUUUAAGUCAGAUUUAAUGGCCAUAUAGCAUUUUUUUCCCACUUUGUCUAUUUUAGUGUCUUUUUUUUUGGGGAUUGAAAAAUAAUAAUAAUAAAAAAAAACUUUAAGUGUACUAGAUGACCUACAUAUCACUACUGACAGGUGACUAUGUCCAUGGUACUUGUGGAGCUAUUUCUGCAAUUUUUGCAUAGAUGGUGCCAGUGUUUUAAUUGAGGCUCAGAGGCCGAAACCGCAUGGCUACGGCUUGACCACCUAAUAAGGCGGCUCCUGUUAGAAUUUUGACUCGAGCAGAGAUGUUCGAUAAGCGCCUAAAGGCAGUGGCGUAGCAUGAUACCCGUGGGCUCCGGUUUAAAGAAUAUAUUGGUGGGCCCCCUUCCCCAAUAAGAUGAAUACAAUGUAUGACAAAACAAUUGAACAAUCUGAAUGUAUCGGUACAUUGAAUAAAAGACAUUCCAAUACAAGUAGAGUAGCUUUUUAAUAAUAUCAUUACGUUUCACUCUGUUCAGACUCAAACAAGAAUGUCAAU